rnacentral:rRNA from 1 species
AUUGAACGCUGGCGGCAGGCCUAACACAUGCAAGUCGAACGAGUGGCGGACGGGAGAGUAAUGUCUGGGAAACUGCCUGAUGGAGGGGGAUAACUACUGGAAACGGUAGCUAAUACCGCAUACCAUCGGAUGUGCCCAUAGGGGUGUAGCUAGUAGGUGGGGUAAAGGCUCACAUAGGCGACGACCCCUAGCUGGUCUGAGAGGAGGAACAGCCACACUGGGACUGAGACACGGUCCAGACUCCUACGGGAGGCAGCAGUGGGGAAUAUUGCACAAUGGGCGCAAGCCUGAUGCAGCCAUGCCGCGUGUAUGAAGAAGGCCUUCGGGUUGUAAAGUACUUUCAGCCGGGAGGCGUUACCCGCAGAAGAAGCACCGGCUAACUCCGUGCCAGCAGCCGCGGUAAUAC